GACGAACGCUGGCGGCGUGCUUAACACAUGCAAGUCGAACGGAAAGGCUCCAGCUUGCUGGAGUACUCGAGUGGCGAACGGGUGAGUAACACGUGGGUAAUCUGCCCUGCACUCUGGGAUAAGCCUGGGAAACUGGGUCUAAUACUGGAUAUGACCUUUCUCCUUAUGGGGUUUGGUGGAAAGUUUUUCGGUGUAGGAUGAGCCCGCGGCCUAUCAGCUUGUUGGUGGGGUGAUGGCCUACCAAGGCGACGACGAGUAGCCGGCCUGAGAGGGUGAUCGGCCACAUUGGGACUGAGAUACGGCCCAGACUCCUACGGGAGGCAGCAGUGGGGAAUAUUGCACAAUGGGCGGAAGCCUGAUGCAGCGACGCCGCGUGAGGGAUGACGGCCUUCGGGUUGUAAACCUCUUUCAGCAGGGACGAAGCGUAAGUGGCGGUACCUGCAGAAGAAGCACCGGCUAACUAUGUG
rnacentral:rRNA from 1 species